UACGUAGGGUGCAAGCGUUAAUCGGAAUUACUGGGCGUAAAGCGUGCGCAGGCGGUUAUGUAAGACAGGCGUGAAAUCCCCGAGCUCAACUUGGGAAUUGCGUUUGUGACUGCAUAGCUAGAGUACGGCAGAGGGGGAUGGAAUUCCGCGUGUAGCAGUGAAAUGCGUAGAUAUGCGGAGGAACACCGAUGGCGAAGGCAAUCCCCUGGGCCUGUACUGACGCUCAUGCACGAAAGCGUGGGGAGCAAACAGG
rnacentral:rRNA from 1 species